GACGAACGCUGGCGGCGUGCCUAAUACAUGCAAGUAGAACGCUGAAGAGAGGAGCUUGCUCUUCUUGGAUGAGUUGCGCACGGGUGAGUAACGCGUAGGUAACCUGCCUGGUAGCGGGGGAUAACUAUUGGAAACGAUAGCUAAUACCGCAUAAAAUUGAUUAUUGCAUGAUAAUUAAUUGAAAGAUGCAACUGCAUCACUACCAGAUGGACCUGCGUUGUAUUAGCUAGUUGGUGAGGUAACGGCUCACCAAGGCGACGAUACAUAGCCGACCUGAGAGGGUGAUCGGCCACACUGGGACUGAGACACGGCCCAGACUCCUACGGGAGGCAGCAGUAGGGAAUCUUCGGCAAUGGGGGGAACCCUGACCGAGCAACGCCGCGUGAGUGAAGAAGGGUGUCGGAUCGUAAAGCUCUGUUGUAAGAGAAGAACGGGUGUGAGAGUGGAAAGUUCACACUGUGACGGUACCUUACCAGAAAGGGACGGCUAACUACGUG
rnacentral:rRNA from 1 species